rnacentral:rRNA from 1 species
UACGGAGGGGGCUAGCGUUGUUCGGAAUCACUGGGCGUAAAGCGCACGUAGGCGGAUUUUUAAGUCAGGGGUGAAAUCCCGAGGCUCAACCUCGGAACUGCCUUUGAUACUGGGGAUCCGGAGUCCGGGAGAGGUGAGCGGAACUGCGAGUGUAGAGGUGAAAUUCGUAGAUAUUCGCAAGAACACCAGUGGCGAAGGCGGCUCACUGGCCCGGAACUGACGCUGAGGUGCGAGAGCGUGGGGAGCAAACAGG